UCCUGGGUUGGUGACUGAGACCGAGGCCCCAGGGCUCCGGAGCACUGGGGACUUGCUGCCCCCAGCCAUGCCUCAGUGUCACCGUGGGGGGCUUCCAGUCCAGCAAGGGGGGUGGAGAAUAUCAGGUCCCCUCCCUGCUUGAGAGGCCACCACUCAUGAGGAUUUCCUUGGGGCGGGAAGCAGAACCUGGAGAUGAUGGAGGCCCAGCUGACACCUUGAUUACAGCCUUUCGAGGAAUCCUAGAGUGGAGGACCAGCUGAACCAUGUCUGGACUCUGUCCCACAGAAAUGGCUUGGCGACCCUCACUUGGGACUCUCUCCGGAGGAACAGAAGAUUCUGGAUACCGUGGGCAGACUCCUUUACGCACACGAUGCCCGGUUCUCACCGCUCUUCUGGAUGCGACAGCGAGGACUCCAAACAUGGGGCACACUGAGGGAUGCGUUGGUGCUGGGGCACACGCCCCUCUGCUGCAGCCAGGGCCUGUCUCCAGCGUCUGGAAAUGGCAGCCACCACUGAGGCUGGACCCUCCAGGUUAAAGCUGGCCCGAAGCCCAGCGCCUCACGAGGUGACAAAGAGCACAGCCAGACUGGGCCGCUGUCCUCCCAUCCUUUGUCCCACACACACACCAGCCCCACCAGCCACCCUGUCACAGCCCACCCAAGGCCGGCGACCCUGUCCUCAAGGUGUCAGUACCUCCCCUUCUAAAUUUCACCCCAGAAAUCAAUUAGGCCUGGAACAGUUGAUUAUAAAUCAGCUGUUUUCAUAAUUGUUAUGCCUUUAAUAAAUCAAAGCUGUGUGCGUUGCCGGCAAAGUGGCGCUGUUCUCCGGAGUCAUCAGUCACCCGGGGGACGACGGCGCGUCCACAGCCCUUGUCCUGCACCAGGUCUGCAGAGGCUGCUGCCACCCAGGGAGCUCCUGGACCCGGGCCGGGCUGU